UAUCUCCUUAUUACUUGAGCUAUGCUCUUCUAGAUGGUCAUCUUCCGCAUUCAUUUGACAUAUGAUCCCCUCCUCUUUCAUUCUUCUAAUCAGCUCAUCCGCUUCACGCCUAGGCCCAUUCUUACAUAAACCUAGUAUCAUUAUAGUGUAUGUUCUAGCAUCAGGCUUCACUCCUUCGACAGGGAGUCUACAAAAUAACUCCCAAGCUUUUUCCACUUUAUCCGCCUUGCACAACCCGUGAAUCAUGAUGUUAUAUGCAACAAUGCCAAUAUACUUUUCGCUUUCUCUCAUAUCAUCGAAUUUCACCAGUGCGCUUUCGAUCUCCCCAUUAACACAAAGACCAUGUAACAGAAUGCAGUGGGUUAUGAUAUCAGGAGUCACGCGACGAGAAACCAUCCAGCAGAAGAUGUCUAGGGCAACUCUAAGUUUACCCACCUGACAAUAACCGUGGAUAAGAGUGUUGUAAGUAAAUAUGUCGGCAUUGAAUCCUUCACAAGACAUCCUUUGGAAGAGUUUCAUCCCUUCAUCUACCAUCCUAAACUUACAGAAUCCACUAAUGAGAGUGUUAUAUGUCACCACAUUAGGGAAGCAACCCUUGCUUGCCAUCAAAUCAAAUGUUUUCUUGGCGUCAUAUAGACGACCGUGCAUGCACAGCCCAUUAAUGAUUGAAUUAUAAGUGACAUUAUUAGGAUCAACAGAGCUUUGGAUCAUCUCCUUGUACAAUUCUUGAGCCUCAUCAAGAUUGCCUUGUUUCACAAAUACAUCGAUCAACGCAGUGAAAGUGACA
rnacentral:sRNA from 1 species